rnacentral:rRNA from 1 species
AUUGAACGCUGGCGGCAUGCUUUACACAUGCAAGUCGAACGGUAACAGGCGGCACGGUGCUGACGAGCGUCGAACGCGUGCGUAAUACAUCCGAACGUGCCACGUCCUUGGGGGUCACUAAUAACUACAGUAGCCCAUACCGCAUACGGUCUAAGGUUGAGAGCGGGGGACCUUAAGACUUCGCGCCAUUGUAGCGGCCGCUGUCAGAUUAGUUAGUUGGUGAGGUAACGGCUCACCAAGGCAACGAUCUGUAGCUGGUCUGAGAGUAGGAGCAGCCACACUGGGACUGAGACACGGCCCAGACUCCUACGGGAGGCAGCAGUGGGGAAUUUUGGACAAUGGGCGCAAGCCUGAUCCAGCAAUGCCGCGUGCAGGAAGAAGGCCUUCGGGUCGUAAACUGCUUUUGUACGGAACGAAACGGCUCUGAUUAAUACACGGGGGUAAUGACGGUACCGAAAGAAUAAGCACCGGCUAACUACGUG